rnacentral:rRNA from 1 species
AUUGAACGCUGGCGGCAUGCCUUACACAUGCAAGUCGAACGGUAACAGGUCUUCGGAUGCUGACGAGUGGCGAACGGGUGAGUAAUGCAUCGGAACGUGCCCAGUUGUGGGGGAUAACUGCUCGAAAGAGCAGCUAAUACCGCAUACGACCUGAGGGUGAAAGCGGGGGAUCGCAAGACCUCGCGCAAUUGGAGCGGCCGAUGUCAGAUUAGGUAGUUGGUGGGGUAAAGGCCUACCAAGCCGACGAUCUGUAGUUGGUCUGAGAGGACGACCAGCCACACUGGGACUGAGACACGGCCCAGACUCCUACGGGAGGCAGCAGUGGGGAAUUUUGGACAAUGGGCGCAAGCCUGAUCCAGCAAUGCCGCGUGCAGGAAGAAGGCCUUCGGGUUGUAAACUGCUUUUGUCAGGGAAGAAAUCCUCUGGGUUAAUACCCCGGGGGGAUGACGGUACCUGAAGAAUAAGCACCGGCUAACUACGUGCCAGCCGCCGCGGUAACAC